rnacentral:lncRNA from 1 species
ACAAUAGUAUCUUCUAACGAGUCUUCUUCAUCUAUACCAACAUCAUUCUGAAGCUUCUCAUCAACUAAAAUCUCCCCUUCUUCCCCAUCAUCCAUACUUAAUAUCAAAAAUUUAGAAGCAGAUAUCUGCACCUCCUCAAUAUUUUUAGUAGCAACAGGUCUACCAAUUUUCCCCGGAGACACUAAGGACCAUGCGUUCCUUUCUUUAUCUCCAGUAUCUUUGUUUAUCAUCCCUUCAUUCUGCAUCUUCCCCACCAAUAUCAGCGGACUUCUGCCUCCCUCAUUCCUAUCUUCUACUACAACUUCUUCAAUAUCCAUUUCUCCAGCUACAACUUUCCCAUUGUGAACCUCAGCAUUUGCUUCUUCAUU